UACGUAGGUGGCAAGCGUUGUCCGGAAUUAUUGGGCGUAAAGCGCGCGCAGGCGGUCCCUUAAGUCUGAUGUGAAAGCCCACGGCUCAACCGUGGAGGGUCAUUGGAAACUGGGGGACUUGAGUACAGAAGAGGAAAGCGGAAUUCCACGUGUAGCGGUGAAAUGCGUAGAGAUGUGGAGGAACACCAGUGGCGAAGGCGGCAUCCUGGACUGGUCCUGACACUCAGGAGCGAAAGCGUGGGGAGCGAUCCGG
rnacentral:rRNA from 1 species